GGAGGAUUGCUUGAACCUGGGAGAUGGAGGUUGCAGUGAGCUGAGAUCUGCACUGCACUCCAGCCUGGGC
rnacentral:miRNA from 1 species